rnacentral:lncRNA from 1 species
CCUACGUCCUCUAAGGAAGCGGGUGGUCAGCUUUAAAGUGCUUUGUUGCGAUCGCUUUGAGGAAAUGUUCCAGGCAGAUUGAAAAGAAGCAACAAAAGGCUUCAGAAACGGUAGUUUAUGCAUCUUGCUCCAAUUCCAAUAGAAAUGAUGUUUUAGACUAAACUGAGUUAAUUUCAACCUUGCAUC